UUUCUUUCCAUCCUUCACAAUAAACUCGGUUGUCUCUCUCUCUUAUACCAAACAUGCAUUCUAUCUCUCUCUCUCUUGCCAAGCAUGAAAAAACAAAAAAUUCCAGAUCCUCAUUGUUCAGGUCUCAAAUCGUUCAUGCAACAAAGAUAUAUAUCCCAACCAAACUCCAUCAAAUGAAACAUACCUUGGAAUCCAUGAACACACACAAACAAGCAUAUGCAAAUCAAUACUCAUAUCCUAUUUUGAACCCUGACACCCCAUUUUCAAUACUUUGUCGGUGCUUAAAAACUACAAAUGUGAGAGAACAUCAAACCAACGGGGCUAUGGAGAGAGAAAAAUAUAUCAAGCUAAAAAAUGCUACCAAGAUGAAGAUUAAAGCGUUUUGGGGUCUCUAGAUACUUGCUUCUCUCUCUAUCUCCUUUUCUUCUCUGGGCUAUACUCAGUCUUCUCCUUCUGUUAUCCUCUUUUCUGCAAUGUGUUUAUGAGUGCAAUUAGAAAUUUUGGUUUAUAGUUUUAUGAAGGUGGGGUGGAAUUUGUGCAACAUUUCCUUAUGAUUUUUUUCUUUUUCUUCUUGCAGAUGAUGUGAAGCUCUAUUUAUAGAGUGAAGAGAGAGUCUUGAAAUCGUGUGAAGAAUUCCUUCACACAUGUGUGAGCAUUUACGGUUUUGGAUAAGGAUUGAGAUUUUUUUUUGUUAGGUAAGAGCUUCCAAAUCCCAGAUUUUGUGGGUGUUGUGCUUGAAAAUUUUCCUUCUUUUUCUUCUCAACGUAAUUUUUGUCUUUUCUAAACCUGAACAGAU
rnacentral:lncRNA from 1 species